rnacentral:rRNA from 1 species
GUGCCAGCAGCCGCGGUAAUACGUAGGUGGCAAGCGUUAUCCGGAAUUAGUGGGCGUAAAGCGCGCGUAGGCGGUUUUUUAAGUCUGAUGUGAAAGCCCACGGCUCAACCGUGGAGGGUCAUUGGAAACUGGAAAACUUGAGUGCAGAAGAGGAAAGUGGAAUUCCAUGUGUAGCGGUGAAAUGCGCAGAGAUAUGGAGGAACACCAGUGGCGAAGGCGACUUUCNUGGUCUGUAACUGACGCUGAUGUGCGAAAGCGUGGGGAUCAAACAGGAUUAGA